CGGCGCGAUCCAGCGGCACCACCGCCGCCGGGGUCAACCCCAGGCUGCGCGCAAGCCGGGUGGUGAGUGCGCGGAUCUCGGCCGCGCGCGCCGG
rnacentral:tRNA from 1 species